rnacentral:rRNA from 1 species
AACGAACGCUGGCGGCAGGCUUAACACAUGCAAGUCGAACGCCCCGCAAGGGGAGUGGCAGACGGGUGAGUAACGCGUGGGAACAUACCCUUUCCUGCGGAAUAGCUCUGGGAAACUGGAAUUAAUACCGCAUACGCCCUACGGGGGAAAGAUUUAUCGGGGAAGGAUUGGCCCGCGUUGGAUUAGCUAGUUGGUGGGGUAAAGGCCUACCAAGGCGACGAUCCAUAGCUGGUCUGAGAGGAUGAUCAGCCACAUUGGGACUGAGACACGGCCCGAACUCCUACGGGAGGCAGCAGUGGGGAAUAUUGGACAAUGGGCGCAAGCCUGAUCCAGCCAUGCCGCGUGUGUGAUGAAGGCCUUAGGGUUGUAAAGCUCUUUCACCGAUGAAGAUAAUGACGGUAGUCGGAGAAGAAGCCCCGGCUAACUUCGUGCCAGCCGCCGCAGUAAAAC